rnacentral:rRNA from 1 species
UAACGCGUGGGUAACCUGCCUCGUACAGGGGGAUAACAGUUAGAAAUGACUGCUAAUACCGCAUGAGCGCACAGUGCUGCAUGGCACAGUGUGAAAAACUCCGGUGGUAUGAGAUGGACCCGCGUCUGAUUAGCUAGUUGGUGGGGUAACGGCCUACCAAGGCGACGAUCAGUAGCCGGCCUGAGAGGGUGAACGGCCACAUUGGGACUGAGACACGGCCCAG